AAUGAACGUUGGCGGCGUGGAUUAGGCAUGCAAGUCGAGCGAGAAUCUGUGGAAUGCGGCUUCGGCCAAGUGAAGCAGAGGAAAGCGGCAAACGGGGUAGUCAUACACAGGUUACGUACCCUCAGGUCGGGAAUAGCCACGGGAAACUGUGGGUAAUGCCCGAUGAUCUGGUAACAGCAAAGGUGAGAUUCCGCCUGAGGAGCGGCUUGUGCGAUAUCAGCUUGUUGGUGAGGUAACGGCUCACCAAGGCUAAGACGUCCAGGGGGUGUGAGAGCAUGGCCCCCACCACCGGAACUGAGACACUGUCCGGACACCUACGGGUGGCUGCGGUCGAGAAUCUUCGGCAAUGCGCGAAAGCGUGACCGAGCGACGCCGCGUGCGGGAUGAAGGCCUUCGGGUUGUAAACCGCUGUCAGAGGGGAUGAAAUCCUUGAGGGCUAUCCCUCUUGGUUGACAGAGCCUCAGAGGAAGCGCGGGCUAAGUUCGUGCCAGCAGCCGCGGUAAUACGAACUGCGCGAACGUUAUUCGGAAUCACUGGGCUUAAAGGGUGCGUAGGCGGCGUGUUAAGUAGGGUGUGAAAUCUGUCGGCUCAACCGGCAGACUGCAUUCUAAACUGGCAUGCUUGAGAGAGUCAGGGGUGUGCGGAACUUCCAGUGGAGCGGUGAAAUGUGUUGAUAUUGGAAGGAACGCCGGUGGCGAAAGCGGCACACUGGGGCUUUUCUGACGCUGAGGCACGAAAGCCAGGGGAGCAAACAGGAUUAGAUACCCUGGUAGUCCUGGCUGUAAACGAUGAACACUGGGUUGGGGGAGCUUGCUCUCCCAGCCGUAGCGAAAGCGUUAAGUGUUCCGCCUGGGGAGUAUGGUCGCAAGGCUG
rnacentral:rRNA from 1 species